GGUCCUAUAGCUCAAUUGGAUAGAGCAACAGACUUCUAAUCUGUAGGUUUUGCGUUCGAGUCGCAAUAGGAUCA
rnacentral:tRNA from 1 species